rnacentral:rRNA from 2 species
GGACAACCUGCCCUUAGGUUGGGUAUAAACCCGGGAAACUGGGUAUAAUACCCGAUAGGUCUCGAUUGCUGGAAUGCAUCGAGAUUUAAAGCUCCGGCGCCUAAGGAUGGGUCUGCGGCCUAUCAGGUAGUAGUGGGUGUAGCGUACCUACUAGCCUACGACGGGUACGGGUUGUGAGAGCAAGAGCCCGGAGAUGGAUUCUGAGACACGAAUCCAGGCCCUACGGGGUGCAGCAGGCGCGAAAACUUUACAAUGCUGGCAACAGCGAUAAGGGAACCUCGAGUGCCAGGUUACAAAUCUGGCUGUCGAGAUGCCUAAAAAGCAUUUCAUAGCAAGGGCCGGGCAAGACCGGUGCCAGCCGCCGCGGUAACACCGGCGGCUCGAGUGGUAACCGUUAUUAUUGGGUCUAAAGGGUCUGUAGCCGGCCGGAUAAGUCUCUUGAGAAAUCUGGCAGCUUAACUGUCAGGCUUUCAGGAGAUACUGUCUGGCUCGAGGCCGGGAGAGGUGAGAGGUACUUCAGGGGUAGGGGUGAAAUCUUGUAAUCCUUGAAGGACCACCAGUGGCGAAGGCGUCUCACCAGAACGGACCUGACGGCAAGGGACGAAAGCUAGGGGCACGAACCGGAUUAGAUACCCGGGUAGUCCUAGCCGUAAACGAUACUCGCUAGGUGUCGGCCACGGUGCGACCGUUGUCGGUGCCGUAGGGAAGCCGUGAAGCGAGCCACCUGGGAAGUACGGCCGCAAGGCUGAAACUUAA